rnacentral:RNase_P_RNA from 1 species
GAAGCAGGCCGGAUCGCCGCCGGUUCGCAAGAACGGGAGGAAAGUCCGGGCUCCACAGGGCAAGAUGCCGGGUAACCCCCGGCGGGGGCGACCCCAGGGACAGUGCCACAGAAAACAAACCGCCGGCCAGGGGGGGGCGUCAGCCUCCGAGACCCGCCGGUAAGGGCGAAACGGUGCGGCAAGAGCGCACCGCGCUUCCCGGUAACGGGAGCGGCUGGGAAAACCCCAUCUGGAGCAAGACCGAAUAGGGGGGCGCUGACAGCGGCCCGCUCAGCCCCCGGGUUGGUCGCUUGAGAUGGAUGGAGACAUCCAUCCUAGAGGAAUGGCGAUCUGCGCGCCGCUUCCGCCGGGGAUCAGGGCGGCGCGACACAAAACCCGGCUUACAGGCCUGCUUCGGCU